rnacentral:rRNA from 1 species
CCUACGGGAGGCAGCAGUGAGGAAUAUUGGGCAAUGGACGAGAGUCUGAACCAGCCAAGUAGCGUGAAGGAUGACUGCCCUAUGGGUUGUAAACUUCUUUUAUAUGGGAAUAAAAUGUUCCACGUGUGGGAUUUUGUAUGUACCAUAUGAAUAAGGAUCGGCUAACUCCGUGCCAGCAGCCGCGGUAAUACGGAGGAUCCGAGCGUUAUCCGGAUUUAUUGGGUUUAAAGGGAGCGUAGGUGGAUUGUUAAGGCAGUUGUGAAAGUUUGCGGCUCAACCGUAAAAUUGCAGUUGAAACUGGCAGUCUUGAGUACAGUAGAGGUGGGCGGAAUUCGUGGUGUAGCGGUGAAAUGCUUAGAUAUCACGAAGAACUCCGAUUGCGAAGGCAGUUCACUGGACUGCAACUGACACUGAGGCUCGAAAGUGUGGGUAUCAAACAGGAUUAGAUACCCCUGUAGUC